CACACUAUCAUGCCCCUUAUGACCUGGGCUACACACGUGCUACAAUGGUUGGUACAACGAGUUGCGAGUCGGUGACGGCGAGCUAAUCUCUUAAAGCCAAUCUCAGUUCGGAUUGUAGGCUGCAACUCGCCUACAUGAAGUCGGAAUCGCUAGUAAUCGCGGAUCAGCACGCCGCGGUGAAUACGUUCCCGGGCCUU
rnacentral:rRNA from 1 species